GACGGAGGGUGCUAGCGUUGUUCGGAAUUACUGGGCGUAAAGGGCGCGUAGGCGGCCUGGUCAGUCGGAUGUGAAAACCCGGGGCUCAACCCCGGGCUUGCGGUCGAUACGGGCAGGCUCGAGUUCGGUAGGGGAGACUGGAAUUCCUGGUGUAGCGGUGAAAUGCGUAGAGAUCAGGAAGAACACCGGUGGCGAAAGCGCUCUGCUAGGCCGCAACUGACACUCAUGGACGAAAGCUAGGGGAGCGAAUGGG
rnacentral:rRNA from 1 species